ACAUAUUCAUUACGCUUACAUAUAUAUGUUGUACUUAUCCCUUUUUGCAGCACCUUUAAAAAGCAAAAUCGACUCCAUUAGAGAAGAAAUAAACGAAUUUCGAAAUAAAAAAAAAAUUGAAAGAAAUAAACUUAAAGAAUUACAAAAUAAUUACCAAGAAAAAAAUAAUAAAUUAAAUGAAUUGAAUGUUUUAAGAGAUAACUAUUAUAAAAAAAUUAAUCAUUUUUUUGCUGAAAAAAAGAAGUGUGGAAAUAGAACAAGAAGAAAAAAGACAACAAUUUAGAGAAUAUGAAUUGAGUUUAUUACAAGCAAAACAACAAAAACUAAAAGAAGAAAGAGAAAGAAAAAAUUUAGAAUUGGAAAAGGAAAAAUUAGAAAAACAAUUAGAGGAUAUUGACGUAGUACCAUUUAGAGAAGAAUUGGCAUUAAUUGAAAAUGUUUUAGCGUAUUUAAAAAGAUUGAAAGAAGAUGCAAAAGUAGAUGAACCGAAAAAACAACCAAGUAAUUUAACAAAAAAAAUUAAUGGACAUGUAGAACAAAUUUCCAAUAAUGACACAAAUGAUGCAGAUAUAACUGGUAAUGAUAAUAACAUAAAAGAAGAUGAAGAAGAUAUUAAUAAAGUAAAAACUGAUACAGAUAGUAACAAUAACAACAAUAUUAACAAUAAAAAAUCAAAAAAUAAAAAAGACAAGUACAAAGCAUUUAAAUUAGAUAUGAACAUUCUUUGUUAUUUUGUAACUGUUGGUAUAAAUCCACCUGUUAGUUUUGAUGAAAUCGAUGCAUGUGUUGUUAAAUUAAAUGAAAAAAAAAGUAUAUUCGAAAAAAAAAGACAAGAUAGUAUUCAAGAUGUAGAAUCACGAAGAUCUUCCUGUAUGGAAAAACUAAAAGAAAUCGAUGAGAAACUUACAAAAUUAAGGCCAGAACAGAGUAAAAACUCCAAAGCUCAUAAAGUAAAGGCAUAAAAUUCCUUAUCAACAAGAUUUUAAUUUUAUCAAAUAAUACCCAUAUUGUAUAUAUAUAUAUAUAUAUAUAUAUAUAUAUAUAUAUGAAAUUAUAAGGUAAAAACAUGUAUAAUUAUAUAUAAACGUGUAUACGAGUAUGUACGCAUGUAUAUAUACAUAUAUAUGUACGUGUGUUUUUUUUUUUCUUUUUCUUUUUUUUUUUCUUGGUUUCUACAAUUUUUUUUUUUUUUUUUGAAAAAUAUGUUUUGUUCAUUAUAUGUUUAAUAAAUAGUAUUCUAAAAAUAUUAAAAAAUAAAAC
rnacentral:lncRNA from 1 species